GAUAAACGCUGGCGGCGCACAUAAGACAUGCAAGUCGAACGGACUUAACUCAUUCUUUUAGAUUGAGAGCGGUUAGUGGCGGACUGGUGAGUAACACGUAAGCAACCUGCCUAUCAGAGGGGAAUAACAGUGAGAAAUCAUUGCUAAUACCGCAUAAGCUAGUAGCAUCGCAUGAUGUAGCUGGAAAAGGAGUAAUCCGCUGUUAGAUGGGCUUGCGUCUGAUUAGCUAGUUGGUGGGGCAACGGCCUACCAAGGCGACGAUCAGUAGCCGGACUGAGAGGUUGAACGGCCACAUUGGGACUGAGAUACGGCCCAGAAUCCUACGGGAGGCAGCAGUCGGGAAUAUUGCGCAAUGGAGGAAACUCUGACGCAGUGACGCCGCGUAUAGGAAGAAGGUUUUCGGAUUGUAAACUAUUGUCGUGAGGGAAGAAAUUGACAGUACCUCGGGAGGAAGCUCCGGCUAACUAUGUGCCAGCAGCCGCCGUAA
rnacentral:rRNA from 1 species